CCUAACACAUGCAAGUCGAACGAAGUAGCAAUACUUAGUGGCAGACGGGUGAGUAACAUGUGGGUAUCUGCCCUUUGGCCUGGAAUAACACGAGGAAACUUGUGCUAAUACUGGAUAAGUCUUUACGGAGAAAGCUUUAUGCACCAUUGGAUGAGCCCGCACUUGAUUAGUUUGUUGGUGGGGUAAUGGCCUACCAAGACUGUGAUCAAUAGCUGAUUUGAGAGGAUGAUCAGCCACAUUGGGACUGAGACACGGCCCAAACUCCUACGGGAGGCAGCAGUGGGGAAUCUUGCACAAUGGAGGAAACUCUGAUGCAGCGAUGCCGCGUGAGUGAAGAAGGCCCUUGGGUUGUAAAGCUCUUUCGUCGGGGAAGAAAAUGACUGUACCCGAAUAAGAAGGUCCGGCUAACUUCGUGCCAGCAGCCGCGGUAAUACGAAGGGACCUAGCGUAGUUCGGGAUUACUGGGCUUAAAGAGUUCGUAGGUGGUUGAAAAAGUUGGUGGUGAAAUCCCAGAGCUUAACUCUGGAACUGCCAUCAAAACUUUUCAGCUAGAGUUUGAUAGAGGAAAGCAGAAUUUCUAGUGUAGAGGUGAAAUUCGUAGAUAUUAGAAAGAAUA
rnacentral:rRNA from 1 species